UAAAACGUAGGAGACAAACGUUAUCCGGAGUUACUGGGCGUAAAGGGCGUGUAGGCGGUAUGUUAAGUCUGGCGUGAAAGCUCUCGGCUAAACCGGGAGAGGUCGUUGGAUACUGGCAAACUAGAGGAUGGUAGAGGCGUGUGGAAUUCCGGGUGUAGUGGUGAAAUGCGUAGAGAUCCGGAGGAACACCAGUGGCGAAGGCGACACGCUGGGCCAUACCUGACGCUAAAGCGCGACAGCAUGGGGAGCAAACGGGAUUAGAAACCCCGGUAGUCCAUGCCGUAAACGAUGUCAGCUAGAUGUUCAAGACUCGCAAGAGGCUGGGGUAUCGAAGCAAACGCGAUAAGCUGACCGCCUGGGGAGUACGGUCGCAAGGCUA
rnacentral:rRNA from 1 species